UAGCAUUUUAUUCAUCAAAUCUUUGAUCUUUCCACAGACAUAAUUAUCCAUUUAUUGUCCGGCCCUGUUUUGACUUACUUCAUUGCUACAUAUAUCUCGAUCUACAAUGGUAUAACAUGCAAAACAUUCCUGGCUAGCUAGAUUCGAAACAUAUGCCCUCCAGUCGAGUUGCUGGCUAUCAGCGCAGUAAACAAGCUCUUGCACCAUAACUCAAGAACUGCCAACUUAUUCCUUUGUACGACCUCCUGCAGGGCUCUUGCUCCACAGGGCUUGACCAUCUAUAGCAGUGAGGUAUGGAUCAUCAAGGCGUUUCCAUGUUUUGAUU
rnacentral:misc_RNA from 1 species